rnacentral:rRNA from 1 species
AUGCUAGUUGUGCGGGUUUAGACCCGCAGCGGAAAGCUCAGUAACACGUGGCCAAACUACCCUGUGGAUGGGAACAAUCUCGGGAAACUGAGGCUAAUUCCCAAUAACGCUCCACCCCUGGAACGGGCGGAGCUGGAAACGCUACGGCGCCACAGGAUGUGGCUGCGGUCGAUUAGGUAGACGGUGGGGUAACGGCCCACCGUGCCAAUAAUCGGUACGGGUUGUGAGAGCAAGAGCCCGGAGACGGAAUCUGAGACAAGAUUCCGGGCCCUACGGGGCGCAGCAGGCGCGAAACCUUUACACUGUACGCAAGUGCGAUAAGGGGACUCCGAGUGUGAAGGCAUAGAGCCUUCACUUUUGUACACCGUAAGGUGGUGUACGAAUAAGGGCUGGGCAAGACCGGUGCCAGCCGCCGCGGUAAUACCGGCAGCCCGAGUGAUGGCCGAUAUUAUUGGGCCUAAAGCGUCCGUAGCUGGCCGGACAAGUCCGUUGGGAAAUCUGUUCGCUUAACGAGCAGGCGUCCAGCGGAAACUGUUCGGCUUGGGACCGGAAGACCUGAGGGGUACGUCCGGGGUAGGAGUGAAAUCCUGUAAUCCUGGACGGACCACCGGUGGCGAAAGCGCCUCAGGAGGACGGAUCCGACAGUGAGGGACGAAAGCUAGGGUCUCGAACCGGAUUAGAUACCCGGGUAGUCCUAGCUGUAAACGAUGCCCGCUAGGUGUGGCGCAGGCUACGAGCCUGCGCUGUGCCGUAGGGAAGCCGAGAAGCGGGCCGCCUGGGAAGUACGUCUGCAAGGAUGAAACUUAAAGGAAUUGGCGGGGGAGCACUACAACCGGAGGAGCCUGCGGUUUAAUUGGACUCAACGCCGGACAUCUCACCAGCUCCGACAGUAGUAAUGACGGUCAGGUUGAUGAC